rnacentral:rRNA from 1 species
GACGAACCGUGCAAACGUUAUUCGGAAUCCCUGGGCAUAAAGGGCGCGUAGGCGGCUUUCUAAGUCAGGGGUGAAAUCCGGCAGCUCAACUGUCGCAGUGCCUUUGAUACUGGAGAGCUCGAGGGAGGUAGGGGUCUGUGGAACUUCCGGUGGAGCGGUGAAAUGCGUUGAUAUCGUUUGGAACGCCAAAGGUGAAAACAGACAGCUGGGAGUGUGCUGACGCUGAGACACGAAAGCCAGGGGAGCGAACGGG